rnacentral:rRNA from 1 species
UACGAAGGGGGCUAGCGUUGUUCGGAAUUACUGGGCGUAAAGCGUGCGCAGGCGGUAUGUAAGACAGAUGUGAAAUCCCCGGGCUCAACCUGGGACCUGCAUUUGUGACUGCAUUGCUGGAGUGCGGCAGAGGGGGAUGGAAUUCCGCGUGUAGCAGUGAAAUGCGUAGAUAUGCGGAGGAACACCGAUGGCGAAGGCAAUCCCCUGGGCCUGCACUGACGCUCAUGCACGAAAGCGUGGGGAGCAAACAGG